AUGAUGAUGACUCAAGUGGCCAACCACAGCAAGAGGAACCACACCGACAGCUACUUCAGCGGGAAGCAGCAGCAGCAGCAGCAGCAGGCCGGCGCCACCACCACCAGCGGCGGCUCGGAGGAGUUCGCGGGCAUGGGGUCCAAGAAGCCGAGGAACGCCAGCCCCCGGGGCAGCGGCGGCCCCAUUUCUCCCAAGGAGAAGAAGGACAAGGUCGGCGAGAGAGUGGCGGCGCUGCAGCAGCUCGUGUCGCCAUUUGGGAAGACGGACACAGCUUCUGUUCUUCAGGAGGCCUCGGGCUACAUCAAGUUCCUGCACCAGCAGCUCGAGGUUCUUAGCUCCCCGUACAUGCGCCCUCCUCCGGCGCCCGGCGCCGAGCCUGAGGACCCCGACCACUACAGCCUGCGGAACCGCGGCCUGUGCCUGGUGCCGGUAGAGCAGACGCUGCAGCUGACCCAGAGCAACGGGGCCGACCUCUGGGCGCCGGCGAACACCACCAGACGCACCUGA
rnacentral:rRNA from 1 species